rnacentral:rRNA from 1 species
GGCGAGCGUUAUUCGGAAUUAUUGGGCGUAAAGGGCGCGUAGGCGGCUUGACAAGUCAAAGGUGAAAUCCCUCGGCUCAACUGAGGAACUGCCUUUGAAACUGUCUGGCUUGAGGCCGGGAGGGGGUAGCGGAAUUCCCAGUGUAGCGGUGAAAUGCGUAGAUACUGGGAGGAACACCAGUGGCGAAGGCGGCUACCUGGACCGGUUCUGACGCUGAGGCGCGAAAGCGUGGGUAGCAAACAGG